CAGCCGCCACGGGAAUACGAAGGGUGCAAGCGUUAAUCGGAAUUACUGGGCGUAAAGCGUGCGUAGGCGGUGAGUUAAGUCUGCUGUGAAAUCCCCGGGCUCAACCUGGGAAUGGCAGUGGAUACUGGCUCGCUAGAGUGUGUCAGAGGAUGGUGGAAUUCUCGGUGUAGCGGUGAAAUGCGUAGAGAUCGGGAGGAACAUCAGUGGCGAAGGCGGCCAUCUGGGACAACACUGACGCUGAGGCACGAAAGCGUGGGGAGCAAACAGGAUUAGAUACCCCCGUAGUCCCUGUCUCUUAUAA
rnacentral:rRNA from 1 species